UGUCAUAUAUACUGUACAGUUAUUUUCGGUGUUUUUCUGAAACCAAUGGAGGAUAUCUCUGCCAUGCUGCCUUUAAGCUUAGUUGAAUCUUAUUGCUAUUCUCUCCUUGUAUUUUGCUUAUCAGUUCUACUUCCUCUAUUUAUUAAUUAUUGGUUAAUCUUUCUUCCAGGACUUUUGUGGGGACAAAUUUAAGUCCUUUGUGGGAAAGGUUCCUGGCUCCAUCAGAAGGUAAAUCAUUACAAUUUUCUGCCUUUUUUUUAACUUAAGUACUACUAUUUUGUGGUUACCCUAUGACCUUAAACUGUUAGCACCUGAACUUAGGUAAUCUAACACCUGACUUUCAAAAUGAAGCUGCUUUGAUGUCCAAUAAAAUUAUCAAGAAAGGAUCAAGGGGAUGGGGGUUGAGUUAUUGAAAAUUUAAGGCAGUAGGAGGGUAGCUGUCUUCGGUUUCCUUGCUUGGAUGCAGUGGAGUUUCCCUUUGUGUCUGAAAAUAUGUAGAUCUCGCUCUUCUCUCUGUUCCCAAGUACAGGAGAUAUUACUGGAUCCUGAAAUCAUUAGCCAUUUGGGAACUUGAGCAUUCAUCAUCGUAUAGCUGUCCAAUUCCAUAACUCUUAGUACAGUAACCCAAUAACAGAGGCGCUCCAAUCUUCAUUCAAGUUAUAACUGUUUUAGGUCCUGCCUUCCUCCUUUGUACCUUGUUUGAAUUGGAUUGUGUUCCAUUUUUUAAUCAGAAAAUAUUCAGAAAGGGUAAAGGAUGUAAAAUUGUUGCCUUUUUUAUGCCUCAAUUGUCAUGUAGGUUCAUAGAAUUGCUAAACAAGGGAAUAAGAAACAAGGAGUAGUAUUGCAUAUUGGCUGCUUUAUGAGUUGGUUGUUUUCAUUAAGAAGAUAGCUUACUAUGUCACUGUUGGAAGAUAUAGAAGUCAACUAUUUGAAUUUGAAAGUCAGCUAUUUGAAUUUGAAAGUCAACUUAAUAUUGACGGAGAGCAGAAACCAGAUCUCUUCUGUCUACUGUACAUAACUAGCACUUGACCAAUCAAAAAGCCACAACUCCCUGUAGUUGAGAUGAAACUUCUGAAUUUGCUCCUUUGACAAUUAAUUUAACAGGUUUCACAUGGCACUUGGAGUCUCACAACUAGUUGAAGUUUUCAUUAACAAUGGUCUGGUAUAAUUAAUAGAUAACCAUUCUUAAGCAUAUAAUUAGAUGUUUGAUUUGUAUAUUUAUACAUGUAUGGAAAAAUAUUUAAUAUUUAUUAGAAGAAAUCAACUACUUCAAUGAGUGUUGUUACAAAGA
rnacentral:lncRNA from 1 species